AGACCCGAAACCCGGUGAUCUAGCCAUGGGCAGGUUGAAGGUUGGGUAACACUAACUGGAGGACCGAACCGACUAAUGUUGAAAAAUUAGCGGAUGACCUGUGGCUGGGGGUGAAAGGCCAAUCAAACCGGGAGAUAGCUGGUUCUCCCCGAAAGCUAUUUAGGUAGCGCCUCGUGAAUUCAUCUCCGGGGGUAGAGCACUGUUUCGGCUAGGGGGCCAUCCCGGCUUACCAACCCGAUGCAAACUGCGAAUACCGGAGAAUGUUAUCACGGGAGACACACGGCGGGUGCUAACGUCCGUCGUGAAGAGGGAAACAACCCAGACCGCCAGCUAAGGUCCCAAAGUCAUGGUUAAGUGGGAAACGAUGUGGGAAGGCCCAGACAGCCAGGAUGUUGGCUUAGAAGCAGCCAUCAUUUAAAGAAAGCGUAAUAGCUCACUGGUCGAGUCGGCCUGCGCGGAAGAUGUAACGGGGCUAAACCAUGCACCGAAGCUGCGGCAGCGACACUAUGUGUUGUUGGGUAGGGGAGCGUUCUGUAAGCCUGCGAAGGUGACCUGUGAGGGUUGCUGGAGGUAUCAGAAGUGCGAAUGCUGACAUAAGUAACGAUAAAGCGGGUGAAAAGCCCGCUCGCCGGAAGACCAAGGGUUCCUGUCCAACGUUAAUCGGGGCAGGGUGAGUCGACCCCUAAGGCGAGGCCGAAAGGCGUA
rnacentral:rRNA from 1 species